AAGACAGAGGGAGCCAGGAAGGGAGGGAGGCGGCAGGGGGGGAGGCCUCUCCUCCCUCCUUCAGCCACAGGCUCUGGAAGGCCCUGCGGUGUGGACUGAGGGACAGGCAGGAGAGCACUCUGGGAGGCCAAGGCAUGCGGAUCACUUGAGGCCAGGAGUUCGAGACCAGCCUGGCCAACAUGGCAAAACCCCGUCUCUACUAAAAAUACAAAAAAUUAGCCAGAUGUGGUGGCAGGUGCCUGUAACGCCAACUACUUGAGAGGCUGAGGCUGGAGAAUCACUUGAACCCAGGAGGUGGAGGUCAGUGAGCCAAGACUGUGAAACUGCACUCUAGCCUGGGCAGAGACUAGAGACUCUAGCCUGGACAGAAUGAGACUGUCUCAAAAACAAACAAACAAAAAAAUUCUGUGUAUGACUAUGAUCCCUUAACUUGAUUUCAUGACCCACGAAUGGAUCUCAACCUACAACUGGAAAAACCCACUACUCUGGAGGAGCUGAUUCCGUACUCUGCUGGAUCUUCAAUUCCUGACCGCUGGAAAUUGGCUGCAAUUUUCCUGGUGAGUUCCUCCCUCCAUGUUCUCCUCACUAAUACACCCUACACCAGACCUCCAGUCCUAAAAGCCACCACCUGCUUCACGUCACCACACCUGUGCCAAUCAGAUUUCCUCUGUUCCCUCUUGGACCUUCAGGGACCUCCAGGAUAAAUGCCAGGAUCCCAGUUACUGGCAGACUGAGAGAAGGAUGACAGCCCCAAAAGAUCACGAGGUUCCUAUCUGUUCAUAUUUGGUGGGCAGCUUUCGUCUGCAAGAACAAAAUACAAGCCGGGUGAGGCGGCUCACAUCUGUAAUGCCAGUACUUUGGGAGGCCGAGGCAGGCGGAUCACCUGAUGUCAGGAGUUUGAGACCAGCCUGACCAACAUGGCGAAACCCCAUCUCUACUAAAAGUACAAAAUUAGCCAGGUGUAGUGGUGCAUGCCUGUAAUCCCAGCUACUCGAGAGGCCGAGGCAGGAGAAUCGCUUGAACCCGCGAGGCGGAGGUUGCAGUGAGCCGAGAUCGCACCACUGCACUCCAGCCUGGGCGACAGAGAGAGACGCUGUCUCAAAAUAAAUAAAUAAAUAAAUAAAUAAAUCAAUAACAAAAUACAUAACUCAAGCAAUUUAAACAGUGAGGGGUAAAACUGAAAUCACAUACCAGGAAGCCCAGAGGUCUGCGGUUCCAGGGUUGGUAAAUGAAGUGACCACUCUAUGUCUAUUUCUCUCUUGUCAUUGACACCCUUUGGAAGUGUCUUUUUCUACCUUAGUCUCAGUAUGACAAGAGUGCUAUGUCAGGGGGCUUUUGUAGGUAGCAGAAGGGAAGGGUGAGGCCAGGGUUUCAGCUGGCUGGGCAAGUGGGUGAGUCACUAAGUGGCUGGGCCCCUUUAGCCCCAUGUAAGGACAGGCUGCAGCCACCCACUGCCCGCCCCAACUGUGUCUGGACAGAAAUGGACAUGUCUGCUUUGCAGCAGCCACGCCUCAUGCUGGGAUAAACCUAUGAAUCAGGAAGGCCACAGAUGCUAUCACCCGUUUCUCUCCACCAGUUACAGGCCCCGAAAGCAGAAAUGGCUGUGGCCUCACCUACGAAUCCUGAAUGGCGAACCCAGCAUCCUGUCUCUAGCUCAGUGCUGGAUUCCCUGGAGCAGGAGUGCCAAAUGUGGCAGUGAGGGAAACUCUUUGGUUCUCCCUUCCACUUUGGGCUCAUUCUAAGUCUAUUCUCUAGGCACUGAGACCCCUCAUGUUGAUUUCUUCUGCCUACAUGGGCCUGUUGUCUGUCGGUUUUCCCAGGAAGAGCUGGGAACUUGAGGGUUGGGGUGGGUGGGUAUAAUGGUGGCAGAGUCUCCCCCGGUUUCUGUGUCUAUGGUAGUACCUGAUAGCACAGACCUUGCCUUAACCUAGGUCUAGUAGCAUGUGGGACUGUGUGUGAACUGGAAGGAACAUGAGUGCCACUUCCCUUACUAUGUAGAUGUGGAGCCCCAGGCUCAGAAGGGGAUAGUGAUUUGCCCAAGGCCACACGGCUCCUUAGCAGCAGAGGCAUACACUGGGGUUUCCUGGACUUCAAGCCUCCACUCUUUUGCCACUCCCACCUGUGGGGAUCCCUGCUUUGCCCCCUAAUUGGCUCCACCUCCCAAAGUCAUCAUAAAUGGCCCAGGUGAGAGUGGUGCCCUGUUGCUAGGGGCUACCGGGUCCAGGCAGUAACUCAGAUGCCUGCCCCAGGAAAACCCUGACAGUGGAGGAAACGCCUGUGUUUCUAUCCCAAGCUGGUUUGCCUCGCUCCUGCUGAACACAGUAAAAAGAAGGUAGAAUCCACACUGCAGGCCCUGAGACAACAAAUGCUCACCCUUCUGAGGAAAGCUGCCUUUAACAAAGGGGAGUAGGGCUUGGCUGGCCCUGGAAAGAAUUUGCUACGGGUGCUGGUGUUAGGGAGGGUAUGGUACCAGCCAGUGUGUAGGAGUUCUGCUCAUGGGAGGGUGUACCGGGUGUGUGCUGAUUCCUCUGUGUGUGCCCAGGAAGACGGCAGCUAGUGUAGACAACCAGGGAGUGCCUGACUGGCAGCUGGAAUGCCAGGGUUCUCUCAGCCACCUGUCGGUCCUGUGACCUUGGGACUUAACCUCCCAGUCUCAGUUUUUCUCAGCUGCAAAAUGGGGAUGCUAAGAAUCUCCUUCACAAGAUUGCUAAAGAGGUAAAACGAAUGGAUGUGCAUAUUCUCCCAGCGGCUGGACAAAGUGGCUUAUGCCUAUAAUUCCAGGACUUCAGUAGGCAGACGCAGGAGGAUCACUUGAGCCCAGGAGUUCAAGACCAGCCUGGGCAACAU
rnacentral:lncRNA from 1 species